ACAUUUCACAUAUCACCCUUAACUUUAACAUUUUAUCAAUUUAACCAUUUACGAAAUAAAAUAAUAAUUAUAAGAAAAUUGAAUACUUUCAUUUCAUAAAAUUUGGGGUCUUAAAUUAAGGAACAUAAAACUAAGUCUAGAACCUUUUAACGUGUGUAUCAUGAUCUGUUUAUGCUAAAUACUAAACUGUAGCCAUGCUAUUGAAAGUUCAAGUCUGGUCUGAUCAGGGAGCAGCGCAGCCGCGCCACUCCCAGGUCAUAAUGUAGCGCGAUCGCGCCACAUGCCAGAACAGUUUGACUAUUUUAUUGGCAAACAGAACCUUGCAGCAUGUGUACAUCAACGUCUUAAGCUGUAAUACAUUACUAGAAUAAUGUUUGAAGUGUUCAAUCAUGUAAUGGUGAUUUAAAACCAAGAAUCUAAAAGCUUUUACAAGUUUUCUAUGUUAAACUUCUAAAAGUAAAAACAAUGUUGAUGUGGUAAGAAUAUGAUCUAUUGUGUAACUAAGAUAAGACUAAAAAUAUAUGUUUAGUAUCUGUAAAUUACACUUGUGUAUCAUGGUUGUAUAAG
rnacentral:lncRNA from 1 species